rnacentral:rRNA from 1 species
UAAGGUAGCAUAAUAAAUUGACCUAUAAUUGAGGCCUGGAAUAAACGAAUAUAUGAAUAACAACUGUCUUUUAAUAAUAAAGGUAAAGUUGCUUAGGUGGUGAAAAUUCCACCUUAAAUUACAUAGACGAGAAGACCCUGGGAGCUUCUAUUUUUGCUGGGGCGGCAUUUUUACACAAAUUAACUAAAAAGAGGUUAAUAAAUCGAUACUUAUAGUUACAAUUAAGCUACCCCAGGGAUAACAGCAUUAUCUUUUUUAAGGUUUGUGACCUCGAUGUUGGAUUAGGGCCUUUAUUUGUUAGUCAUAAUUAAAGUUAGUUCUGUUCGAACAAUAGCACCUACAU